rnacentral:misc_RNA from 1 species
UUUCCGUAGGUGAACCUGCGGAAGGAUCAUUGCACACACGAUGCAGCAAACUAGCGAACUGUGUUUGUCCCCCACCUACCCCAAACACGAGGGGCCGCAUCUGGAGGUGCGGCUGUCGACGGCAAGGUCCCGACCUUCGGGUCCCCGCAGUGGUUCCCGCAAGCGGGCUGAUCAUGUCGCCGUCUGGGUGUCCCGCGCGGGCUCUCGCCUUGCCUUAGGGUUGGGCGACGCGGGCAUUCUCCUCCCUUCGAUGGCGUCGUCCCCUCCUCCGGGAGAGCGACACGCCUCGAGGGCCGUUUACAACUUUGCACCAUGUACAACACCAGUGACUGAGUAUACCGGUGUCCCGGUUCCGCUGCUGCCCUCGGGUGGCGCGGGAUUGGUCCAUAGGAACAAGAGUAAAUAAAAACAACUCUCAGCAACGGAUAUCUUGGCUCUU